AGUGGCGGACGGGUGAGUAACCCGUAGAUGACCUGCCCUGUAGCGGGGAAUAACAACUCGAAAGAGUUGCUAAUACCGCAUGUGUUCUCUCUUGUUGGAGAGAGAAGAAAUCUGCCUCUUGAUCGAGGUGGAGCUAGAGGAGGGGUCUGCGGCGGAUUAGCUAGUUGGUGGGGUAACGGCUCACCAAGGCAGCGAUCCGUAGCUGGUCUGAGAGGACGGGCAACCACACUGGGACUGAGACACGGCCAGACUCCUACGGGAGGGAGAAGUAAGGAAUAUUCCGCAAUGGGCGCAAGCCUGACGGAGCGACGCCGCGUGAAGGAGGAAGCCCUUCGGGGUGUAAACUUCUUUUCUUCAGGAUGACACGCUUUCUCCAAGUCUCCUCCAAGAGGGGACCGGUGAGGGAUCUAGGACAGUACCGAAGGAAUAAGCCUCGGCUAACUACGUGCCAGCAGCCGCGGUAAUACGUAGGAGGCGAGCGUUGUCCGGAUUUACUGGGCGUAAAGGGCGCGCAGGCGGCCCACCAAGUACGGUGUGAAAUCUCCCUGCUCAACGGGGAGGGUGCAUUGUAAACUGGUGAGCUAGAGGACGGUAGAGGGGGGUGGAAUUGCUGGUGUAGCGGUGAAAUGCGUAGAGAUCAGCAGGAACACCCGUGACGAAGGCGCCCCCCUGGGCCGUACCUGACUCUGAG
rnacentral:rRNA from 1 species